rnacentral:rRNA from 1 species
UACGGGGGGGGCAAGCGUUGUUCGGAAUUACUGGGCGUAAAGGGUUCGUAGGUGGCCAACUAAGUCAGACGUGAAAUCCCUCAGCUUAACUGGGGAACUGCGUCUGAUACUGGUUGGCUUGAGUGCAGGAGAGGAACGCGGAAUUCCAGGUGUAGCGGUGAAAUGCGUAGAUAUCUGGAGGAACACCGGUGGCGAAGGCGGCAUCCUGGACCAAUAUUGACGCUGAGGAGCGAAAGCUAGGGGAGCAAACGGG